UUCAGCUCACCUGCCACGCCUGAUUGCUUACCCAUUCCACCUGGUCCCCGCCCUACUUAAACACCUCUCAGCCUCUGCCUCUUUGCCAGAUUAUCGACAGCCAUGAGCCAGUAGAGAUCCAGCGUUUCCUUCCAAGCCUUCAGUGUUUCUUCGACCCUUUUCUGUCCAUGGAUUGCCCCCCCCCCCCCUGCCAAGCCCUUCACGGAUCCCAACUGUUCUGGAUUUCUGGACCCUGACCCAAGCUUUGCCUCACGACCACCGAGUAUUGCCUGCCCCUCAAGCUAAGUUUGCUCUCUCUGCCCUCCCGUGUAUGACCUCUGCCUGAUUACUGUCUUAGUCCCUGGGUGUUGCCUCUUGGAUAUCCUUGUGGAGAGUUUCAUUGAUUCCACAGCAGCCUGUUCUACCUGGUUCCUCUGCUCCACCUGUCCACUGCACUACAGUGCUGUGUUUGAUGAUCACAUCCUGAGCAGCAACCAGAAUCUGAAAAUUAAAUUAAACUUGUUUUUUCCUU